UACACAGAGACUGUCUGAAGUAUGAUGAGAAGUAGGUCUACUAAGGUCACAAUCAAAAAUGGCAGUAUGUGCAUAGACUGUUUACAUCUUUUUCCUUAGUUCUGUCAAAAAAAAAAAAAGUUUUUUUUUUUUUGUUUUUUUUUUUUUUUUAAGACGCCUUUAUGUACACAGUCUUCUGGGGGAGAGGCCAGCAGUGGCUCAGAUCAAGGUGGAAUGAAAACAUUUCAGGGAAAGGAUUUUGCUUCUAGAAUCCCCAGCAAGGUGGGGGAAGAAUGAAGUAGAUACCAAGACACUCUGGAGAAAGUAAUCUUGGAAGGUUCAGCAAUACAAUGAAGUACAAGUACACUUUUGCAUCUGCCUAGUGAAGAAAUUAUAUGAGCCAGCUCAGGUGCCAAACUGUGAGAAAAGAAUUUAUAUGCCAAGAAGACAUCUACAUAAGCCCAGAAAUUAAAUUUCAUUUAGAGAAAAUUAGGCCAUUCAUUUCUUCUCUAGGUUGUUUUCUUUAGUAGGAAAAGACUGCAUAGUUGCCUUUCAACAUUACAAAAGAUUAUGAUCUGAAGAGAUAUAAUUCAUACUCAGGCUGUAAUACAAGCACUGUAAUACAAGCCAUGUAAUAUCAAUAUUCCACAUUCCUUAUUUGUCUACAUUACAAUAUGCUAUACAGUUCCAUGUAUAAAUUUACAUUUGAAUUAUACAAAGAUAUAACUUAAAAAAAAUCCUGAAGACGAGUUUCAAUUUGGAACUCUAACUUUGGGUUAAUACACUUUUAUCCUGUUCCAAAGUUCAGAUAUAGUUCACAUCACAGGGUCUAGGAUUGUAUCCUUCACGAAAAUUUUACUAACAGUAGAAGCCAUGCAGGCUGAGCAAACCCACUGUUUUCCUGUCUACAGUUUUUAACAAAAAGGGAAAAUUCUGCUAUUGAAAGAUUUCAUGCCAGAUCAAGCUGAACAUAUCACCACCCUCAUACAGUUAGAAAUCAGCUUGCUGAAAUCCAUCA
rnacentral:lncRNA from 1 species